UAGAGUUUGAUUAUGGCUCAGAACGAACGCUGGCGGCAUGCCUAACACAUGCAAGUCGAACGAGACCUUCGGGUCUAGUGGCGCACGGGUGCGUAACGCGUGGGAAUCUGCCCUUGGGUUCGGAAUAACUCGCCGAAAGGCGUGCUAAUACCGGAUGAUGUCGUAAGACCAAAGAUUUAUCGCCCAGGGAUGAGCCCGCGUAAGAUUAGGUAGUUGGUGAGGUAAAGGCUCACCAAGCCGACGAUCUUUAGCUGGUCUGAGAGGAUGAUCAGCCACACUGGGACUGAGACACGGCCCAGACUCCUACGGGAGGCAGCAGUGGGGAAUAUUGGACAAUGGGCGAAAGCCUGAUCCAGCAAUGCCGCGUGAGUGAUGAAGGCCUUAGGGUUGUAAAGCUCUUUUACCCGGGAUGAUAAUGACAGUACCGGGAGAAUAAGCUCCGGCUAACUCCGUGCCAGCAGCCGCGGUAAU
rnacentral:rRNA from 1 species